UGAAGUUUUGUGUUUUGUAGUUGAGCAAAAUGAAAAGAUGAUAUUUCAUGUAUUUUCCAUAUAAACUCAAAUUGGACUGUCAGCUUUGCCAUUGGUGAGGAAUGCUAAGCGUAAGCUCGGGAAGAAACGGACAAAUGGGGUCAGUUGUAGGCUUAAUUAUCAUUAUGUAUUCAGUGGCUAUUAGGCUGUCAGUCUUUCUUGGAUCCCUUUUUGCUGCGUUUGACGAAGGGGUAAAGUGGCCUAAUAUUAUUAAUGUCCCAUUGUAGAAAUGACAACAAAAAUAGUAAGGAAGGUUUUUGUCUGUUACCCAAAUGAAUUAUUUAUUUUCAAAUGGGAAUGUGUGGAUGGAGUUCAUGCCACUGACUGUUCUAUUCAAGUGUUCUUACUGAAUGGUUGUGUGGCUUCACAAGGCAAAGUCUACGAAAACAGGCUCUGUCUCGAACAGUAAUUAUGCAACUGGUUUUGAAUGUAACAUUCAAAUGUGGAUUGCCUUCAUUUUCAAGUAUGUACCCAGGUUUUGUCCGUUGGUUCAAUGUUAUUUUUGAUUUCAAACGUUCCGUUCUCUGCACUCUUCCAUGUGGUUGUCAGUGUACAGCUGUCUUGUUUUUUCUUUGGAGGCAAAAGUUUGUUUGUAAGAUAGAGGAUGGUCUGGGGGAGAAACAUCAGUGUUAAUUCCUGUGAUACGUUAAGAUCAUGGCCUCUGAAUUGGUAUAGAACCAACAUCUAACCACAGGGGCAGAACUGUGCAUUGUUACCUGUUGGUCAUAGUAUUGAGAAGGAUUUAAGUUUACUUUGUAGAAAACAGGAGAAAAGAAAAAAAAAAAGACAGUUUCAAAUCAAUAGUGUGGCCUUUUCAUUCUCAAGACUAAAGAUGUCCUUUUUGGAGAAUGAUGCCUUAUCAGUGCCUAAACUUGUAUUUUCAUUAACUAUAAAGACAGUUUUCUCUUAAACCAUAACAUUUCAUGUAUCGCCAAUAUUAGAGGAUCGGGUGCACCCCCCCCCCACCCCCCCUCCCCAUUUCCUCCCCUUUUCACUUUUCAGGAAGAAGUUGAAAAUGGAAAAAGGAUUGGCUUUUUUCAAUGUAUCUAGUUAAAUAAACAUUUAAACUUUAUGUAGAUUUCAUUAGUUAUUUUUUCCCCCCAACUGGAUUUGACCAUUUGUCCUGACUACUGUUUAGUUGUGGCCAUAGGUUCAGGUCCUGGCAUUGUUUGUUUACCCCCAUUAAUAAACCACUCAACACUACCGGGUUUUAUGAAAUGCUCGUUUCUGCCCUUGUGAUCUGCUUUUUUAAAGCAACUCAAAAUGUCAAUAUAUGGCUUCAGCUUUGUAGUGGGGGGCUGUGUUAUUUUGAGCCAUGAUAACUGGAGCUUCUUGUCAUUAGAUCUAGAAAACCCUUUUCUGUGUUAAGGAGUGAGUGCAAGUCCUAUGCUGCAGUGAUGGACUGUCAUUUAUGACCGUUUCCUUUGCUUUAAGGCUUUGCCUCUUUCUGAUUUCCAGCUCCUUAUUGACUUUGACAGUGACUUAUUGUAAGAGGUAUUUAUGUACUUCUUCAAAAAGUUUAAGAUUUUCAUCUCUAUGAUUACAAGGUUAAAUGUGUACUAAAUAUUGCAGAUUUAGAAAAAUUACUGAUCUGAUUUAUUGUCAUUGUGUAUUCUGUGAACAUCCCACAAUGACAAUGUACAAUCUGUAUUCUGAGUUGUUGGAUAGGGGAAAAGAUGGAGGGUCUUUUUUUUUUUUCAUGACCUGAAUAUUGAUACAGGCCCUGUUUUGAUUACUUGUGGGUCCACCUUUCCCUGUCUAAAGACAUAACUGGAUAGUGUAUUGUCCACCUGUUAAGGUGUGAUUAUGGAUAGAACCUAAUUAGAUGUUUGGUGUAUGAGAGGAUCUUCCACCUGCAAAAUUAUUUCAGACCAUAGAAAAUUCAAGGAAGAGGGCACUAUGUUUUUAAAGUAUUCAAAAAGGGCAACUCAUUCACUGCUACAGAGCCUGGCGUUUUCCACCUGCAGCGAGGACACAAUCAAGACUGAGCUGUGUCUUCAGAGUGCCUCCAGUCCCAAUCUCCUUUGGUAUUUUUUUAUAUAUAUAUAAAGUAGUUAUUGAGAACUGUCCUGUAUAUAACAGUAAUGUAGCAAUAAAUGUGCCAUUUUUAAUAACAGAAUUAUACCUUUUUCAAUGUCUGGCUUUUGAAUCUUGUAUACAUAAAAGGAAAAUAAAGGAAAACAUUGUAAUAAAGGGUUUUAUCAUAGCUUGGAAAA
ensembl:lncRNA